AGCGAACGCUGGCGGCAGGCCUAACACAUGCAAGUCGAACGAAGUCUUCGGACUUAGUGGCGGACGGGUGAGUAACACGUGGGAACGUGCCUUUAGGUUCGGAAUAACUCAGGGAAACUUGUGCUAAUACCGAAUGUGCCCUUCGGGGGAAAGAUUUAUCGCCUUUAGAGCGGCCCGCGUCUGAUUAGCUAGUUGGUGAGGUAAAGGCUCACCAAGGCGACGAUCAGUAGCUGGUCUGAGAGGAUGAUCAGCCACAUUGGGACUGAGACACGGCCCAAACUCCUACGGGAGGCAGCAGUGGGGAAUCUUGCGCAAUGGGCGAAAGCCUGACGCAGCCAUGCCGCGUGAAUGAUGAAGGUCUUAGGAUUGUAAAAUUCUUUCACCGGGGACGAUAAUGACGGUACCCACAGAAGAAGCCCCGGCUAACUUCGUGCCAGCAGCCGCAGUAAUAC
rnacentral:rRNA from 1 species